ensembl:lincRNA Gm14762 predicted gene 14762
GAGGCUGUGUCUCAAAAUAAUAAAAAUUUGAAUUAAUUAAUCAAUUAAAAUUAAUACCCCCCUUUAAGAGUGCAGGGGUCUAUUUGGGCUCACAGUUUGAGGCUACAAUAUGUCCUGGUGGGGAAGGCAUGGCAGUAGGAAUUUGAAACAGCUAGUCCCAUAGUAUCCACCAGAGACAGGGAUGAGCGCUCAGCUCAUGCUCUGCUUGCUUCUUCCUUUUCAGUUAGUCUUUAGCAUCACAGAAGGGGACUCUCUUUGUUUAGGAUGGCUCUUGGUGCUUUGUUGUGUGGCAACCAAGACAAGGUCUUAGUUUGUAACCCAGGCUGGCCUGAAACUCCUGCUCCUGCCUCCUAUGAUAACCUUCUUGAGCCACCAGCUCUAGCUGCCAUUCUAAACUCUUAAGAGUGACCUUUGUUUUUAAGAGUGACCUUUGUGACAUUUCUUCCUUCCCUCGGCUCUUACAAAUUAAGUUUCUUAAAAAGUAAUGUAUUUGGAAGUGAAUAAGGCAGAUGAUGGACAUGGGAAGCCCAGAUCCUGGGCCCCAAUCAGAUCAUUUUUUAAAUUGAAAUUUGAUUUGAUUUUAUGUGUAUAAAUGUUUUGCCCGCAUCUAUGUCUAUUUACCAUGUGCUUGGCCAGUGACCACAGAGGCCAGCAAAGGACAUUAGACUUCAGGGACUGGAAUCAUAGACAGUUAUGUACUGCUAUGUGGGUACUGGAAGCUGUACCCAGGUUCUUUGGAAGAGCAGCCAGUGUUCUGAAGUAUGGAGUCAGCAGAACUUCUUUUUUAAAGGGGAGUAUCAGUCUGUGGCACAGGAUCACACUAUUCAAUCCUUCUAUUGGCCUGAAAAUGGAGCCCUUUCUGUCUCUUGUGCUGUCUCCUGUGGUGGAAUCGCCCAUCAUCACUCCCCACACUUUCUUUGAAUUAGACAGGAUUUUUAAAAAGAGCAGAAAGACUCGGUGCCCUGGAGAGAAAGACCCAUCCCAGGUAAGGUCUGGUUUUCCUCACUGUCUCCUUAUAACCACUUCGUGUCCCACAAAACUAUUCCCUCUUCUGUCCUACACAGAGACUUUCUUUGUUUUGGCAGUGUAGGGACAGAAGCAUGGUUGUGAGAAUACUGGGCAAGUGCCCUGCCAUUGAGUUUCAUUCCAAGAUGCCAACAUGGAGCUUUGAGACAGAAAAGUCCCCCAUCUUUUCCACAAGACCAGCUGUGAAUAAAUCUAUUUCUUUUAACUUACUUCUGUCUCUGGGAUUUUCAGUCGAGCAGUGAGCAGUAUACAACUUAAGUUUCAGUAACAGAACUAAGUUUCUGGCUUUCCUUUUCCCAAGUAAUUUAUUGUCUUACCCCUUACCUGAUUUUCCAUAAGGGUCUCCUAGUUUCCAAAGAACAGCAAACAUAUCUGUAAAACAUUGGCAAAGAAAGGCAAAAAUAACGAAUAAAAUAAAAAGAAAACUGUUAAGGAAGAACAGUUUGUUCCUAGUCCUUCAUUAACUUAAAAGUCUAUUCUAGUUAGAGAACUGUCUGAACUUUGAUUCCUCCACAAAAAGCAAAUGAGCUUUAAAUCAUUAUAAAUGUGAAGGAGCGUCACUAGCCUUCAUGACAAGGUGAUCACAAGUAACUGCCUUUCCCUUAACAGAAAUAUUUAACACAUAUGAUAGAAAUAUAAACAGAGCAAUGAUUUGUGAUGUCUCAAUAUGUUCUUCCUUGCUGAAGGACUGUUCAACUAGCUUUAAUCAGUAGUAAGGGCAAGCAGACAGGAAAAAUAAACCAUG